UAAAUUGCUGUGGUAUUUUGACUAUACAAAGGUAUUGAAAUAAGAUUUUAAUUGAAUGCUAAGAGAAUGGAAGUUCAGAAAAAAACUUUUUUUAAAUUAAAAAUUGAAGUUUUUUUAAUUUGUGCAGAAACAAUUAUUUAUAUUAAAGACAAGAAGACCCUAUGAAUUUAUUAAAUUUUUACUUAAUAUGUAAUUACUAUUAAAAAAAUUUUGGCUGGGGCGGCUAGAAAAUAUUAUAAACUUUUUAAAAAUAAAAUGAUCCAUUAUUAAUGAUUUUAUGUUAAAUACU
rnacentral:rRNA from 1 species